UUAUUGGGUUAUUUUGUGCCUCCGUGAUUAGUAUUAACUAACGACCCCAUCUCUCUCUUUUCCUUUGGAACCAGCCUCGUCUGUGAAGGCUUCUCCCUUACCACCAUUUCCGGCGUCGUGCAGAACCUUCUCGUCGUCGUCGGUGCAAUUUCAGUCUCAGGCGUCGAGCAGAACCGCUUCUUCUCCCUUAAAUGAUCGUGAUUUUUCUCCUCAAAACCCAGAUCUGGGACAUCCUCCACCCAAGACUGCACCACCACGUCUUGAUCGAUGACGCCGCCGGCAACCCCCUCGUCAACUUGCGUCCCUCAUGAAGGUAGAUAUGGCCUUGGAUAUGGCGGAUUCGGUCUCCUUAUUCUGAACCCAUUGCCAUAGACCACUGUGCCCGCUGCCGAAGGCGAAUUCCGGCCGCUCUCUUUUUCCUUUUUGUUCUCUCCAAGUACAACAACAAUCACUCUUCCUUCAAAGGUUGUGUUUCUAGGUCUGGGUUGUUGGGUUUAUGGUGGUGGGGUUUGUGUCAAGGUUGGGGUGGCGACCCGGUGGUCGUGCGCCGCUGGUCGUGGUUAGGUCGCGCACUGCCGAUGGUGGUGAUUCCGACUCCGCUGUGAUCUGUGCGCUCGUCGGAAGAAAUUUGGUUUAUGCUUUGGGUCAUCCUUUGGUGGUGGUGUGGCAUCACGUUCUAUGGGGGUCUACUAUUAACACUUGUUUGAUUUUUGAUAUGCUGGUUGAAGGUUGUUAUGGGUGUGAGGGUGAUGUAAUAGGAUAAAUAUAAAUAUUUGUUUUGAAUUUUUGAUCUCUUUUUGAUCGGUGUUGCAACCUAUUUCAUGUAUUAGUUGCAUAACCCUUUUGAUACUACAUGUAUAUUAGGACUAAACUUGAACUUGUUGAUAUGGGUUAUAGAUCUGGGAUUCUGAUGAUGUUUGUAUUUGGGAUUUUAUGUUUGAUUUGAAUUAAAAGGACAUGAGGAAGGGGAAACCGAAA